CAAAUUCACCAUUGUGGAUAUCAAGUCUUGCUUUUCAUGAAGACAGUGUUACCUUACGAGCCCAGAUGUUAGAUAAUGUAAUGACCCUUUUAUACUCACGACCGGAUGUAGAAGGUAUUAUUCUAGACGAUGUUUGGGAUAAGGAACUGAACAGUCAGGAUGCAGCAUUGGCAAAUGGACAAAAUUUCCAGUUUAACCAAGCUGGGCACGUCUAUCAAAACCGCUGGCAUACACAUGAAACUCACCGUUUCACCAGUAGAGUGAGGGUACGUGCAUACAAGGGGGAAUAUGAUAUAAUUGUACGACGAGGAGCAAAUGGUCCAAUUGUGGGUACGAAGCAUGUGACACUUGGAAAUGGUGGACUUUCUCUGACAAUCCAUGUCACAGGACAAGGUCAAAAUUACCGUGUUACGAAUUAUGCAUUUGGAUGAAACAUGACAGCAUGGUAGAUACAAUAGAGAGAAC